rnacentral:rRNA from 1 species
GACGAACGCUGGCGGCGUGCCUAAUACAUGCAAGUAGAACGCACAGUUUAUACCGUAGCUUGCUACACCAUAGACUGUGGGUUGCGAACGGGUGAGUAACGCGUAGGUAACCUGCCUGGUAGCGGGGGAUAACUAUUGGAAACGAUAGCUAAUACCGCAUAAUAUUAAUUAUUGCAUGAUAAUUAAUUGAAAGGUGCAAUUGCACCACUACCAGAUGGACCUGCGUUGUAUUAGCUAGUAGGUGAGGUAACGGCUCACCUAGGCGACGAUACAUAGCCGACCUGAGAGGGUGAUCGGCCACACUGGGACUGAGACACGGCCCAGACUCCUACGGGAGGCAGCAGUAGGGAAUCUUCGGCAAUGGACGAAAGUCUGACCGAGCAACGCCGCGUGAGUGAAGAAGGUUUUCGGAUCGUAAAGCUCUGUUGUAAGAGAAGAACGGGUGUGAGAGUGGAAAGUUCACACUGUGACGGUAGCUUACCAGAAAGGGACGGCUAACUACGUG